UACGUAGGGGGCUAGCGUUGUCCGGAAUCAUUGGGCGUAAAGAGCGUGUAGGCGGUCCGGUAAGUCCGCUGUGAAAGUCGGGGGCUCAACCCUCGAAUGCCGGUGGAUACUGUCGGGCUAGAGUGCGGAAGAGGCGAGUGGAAUUCCGUGGUGUAGCGGUGAAAUGCGCAGAUAUCAGGAGGAACACCUAUUGCGAAGGCAGCUCGCUGGGACGUUACUGACGCUGGAGACGCGAAAGCGUGGGGAGCAAACAGG
rnacentral:rRNA from 1 species